rnacentral:rRNA from 1 species
UACGGAGGGUGCAAGCGUUAUCCGGAUUCACUGGGUUUAAAGGGUGCGUAGGUGGGCAGUUAAGUCAGUGGUGAAAUCUCCGGGCUUAACCCGGAAACUGCCAUUGAUACUAUCUGUCUUGAAUACCGUGGAGGUGAGCGGAAUAUGUCAUGUAGCGGUGAAAUGCUUAGAUAUGACAUAGAACACCAAUUGCGAAGGCAGCUCACUACACGGAUAUUGACACUGAGGCACGAAAGCGUGGGGAUCAAACAGG